CUCCUCCAAUCCCCUUCUCCUCGAGGAUCUCUGGUGGCGCGAUUCUCCAUGUCCACCUCCUCCCCGACCUCGUCGCCGCCUUCCGCCGCUGACGCCGACGGGGGCAGGGCCCGCUGCAUCUCGCCGCCGUCCUCCCGGAGGAAGGGAUCCCCCAAACGCAGCGGCAGCGUCGCCCGCAAGAUUCGCUCGAUACCCCUCUUCCCGCCUCUUUCUGUGUCUUGUGCGAUCCGAUUGGAACUCUGGGACUCUGGGUGGCUCCUCUGGUUUCGAGCGCCAGUUCCGCACGGGGAGUUUUUUGGGUGCCCUUGGGCAAGCGGUGGUUUCGUUCGAUGUACGGCCACAGAUCGGCCCCUCCUCCUACGUUCUUCCUCCUCCUCCCAUACACUCUUCCUCCUCGCCCUCCUCUGUGAUUUUCCCCCUAGCCCGUUCAUCCCCUGCAGCCUUCCCUAACCCUAGAUCGAUGGGAUCGCCGCCAUCUCAUCUCCUCUACCCACAUACGGCGGGAGUAGCAGUAAAGACCGCCAUGGGUUGCUACUCUGUGGGCGGGCAUCCAGUACACCCCGACGGUGCCGCAGAUUGGUCCUUCCUCCUACGUGCUUCCUCCUCGCUCCUGGGGUUUCCCUACCGGUGCCGCGACAUCGAGGCCCUCAGCACCCUCAGCAUUUCAGCAACUUCCUCUUCUACAGAGAGGACAAGCUCAGCCUCCUGCACACCAUCGUCAGCAAGGCCCGGGCUACCAUGAGCACAUCGUGGAUAUAUCACCCAGGUCUUUAUACUUCUAAACAAUCCAAUGCAUCUUGCAAAGGAACGGAUGGAGGAAAUCAAUUCACAACGCUUGUCGCAAAAAUUCGACCUGAAAUCGCCGUGCUUGCGAUAUAAUGAAGAGAAUUGCGGCAAACUUGCUAAUCUGGUACGUCAGGUUUGAAUUCUUCAGGAACUGCAAAUUUGCUUGUGGUUAUGUAUACCUCUCUUAUUCUCUUUUUAUACUGCAAAUGGUAGCUAACCCCUGGAAGAUACUUAUGAACACUUAAAUGCCAUAUUCGUUACUGAAUCAGUGGUAUCCAUGUCCUUCUUUACAGCUGAGAUGAUAUGUACUAUUCGAAAAAAAGCUGAGAUCAUGUGUAUUCCAGAAAAAAUGCCCAAAUCACAGCAUGAGAUUCCUUUUUGUUUUACUUAAUUCCUAUCGUGUAAGAUUUACAGCAAUGCAAUGCACGAUUUUUUGCUUCCAUCCAUAUUUAUUUAAAUUUUCCUUUUCCUGAAUUGACAAACUAUUUGUUCAAACUUAACUAUACUUUUCCUCAAGUGCGAUUUUAAUGUUCUCAGCAUGGGUUUUCACUUCAUGUGGGCAUUUCCUGAUAGAAUGAAUUUGUACAAAAUUAUGUUCUUUUGAGCUGUGACAAGGAUCCGGGAUGUUUUCAGUGAUGCUAUAUAGUUCACAGAUGCAAUGGCCGUGAGCUUGAGUAAAUGACAUUGUUCAGUUCAUAUUUGAUUCUAAUGGUUGUACUUCCAUGUCACAGGCUUGUCCAAUGUAAACUCCGAGAAUUUCAUGUGCUUAUUUUGCUACUAUGGAGAAGUUCAUCCAUUCACCGGCGCGCUAGGUUUUUGAACACGUUCAGUUGUACACUUGCAGUAUGUAUAUUAAAGGGGCAGCUCAUCUGUUAAAGUUGUAGUGCAGUGUAGGUAAAAGAGGCUUCUGGGUUAUAUACAUUCUCUUCCUUUUAAUUGUGCUACACCGCUGCUGCACUCAUUAUGAUGUUCAAAUCUUAAAUUUUGACUGUUGUGUUUUUAUUAUCUUAGUAUAAGGGGUAUGGGUUUUAUAUGUCUUGUUUCUCUGUUUUUGGGCUUUUCUUUUAAAUUGCUGGAUUGGGUAUUGCUCAUGGUCUCUAUAUUUAUUAUUCUCAUUUUCAUAUACUAGGGACUUUGUUUCUAAAACUGAUUCUGGAUAAUUGAGAGUUAUUUACGGUCUGUUACAUGUAUUUAUUGGGUAUAGGAUUUGCAAAGCUACUACUCUACGGUAAAAGCAUGUGUGGUUUAUAUUAUUCUUAGCUGCAAAUGUGCAUCACCUUGAGACGUGAACAGUAGCUACAUAUAUGAAGGCUUAGUACUAGCUGCAGCUGUGAGCAGCACUAAAAUUCUAUCCAAUGGCUUACCGUGUGUGUGAGAGAGGAGAGAGGGACUUGUAACAACACUUCUAUAUUGUGCAUUUUCAAAUUGGCACUUUUAUUUUUACACAAGAAAAAAUAGAGUUUUCUCUUUCAACAUUUAUUUUUGUUAUUGUGAGCAUAUAAAUUGAGGUCCCAUAUUCCAUAUUUGAUGAGUGGCUUCCGGCUGAACAUCUAUCUACAUGGCUACAUGUCCUUCCUGCAUGUAUCUAAUCUAAUAUUAUUAUGAUCUGAAAUCCGAAACAGAAGUUUAUGAGUUGCAUGUUGCAACUAAUUUACCUCAACAUCAUCCUAUUUAUUUAUUAUAUUCUUCUUUUGGUUUGAUGUGUUCUAUGUACGUCUACAGCUGGAAAGUCCUUUUGGAUCAUGGGCACCAGUGCCCUCAUUGUAUUAA